rnacentral:rRNA from 1 species
AUUGAACGCUGGCGGCAGGCCUAACACAUGCAAGUCGAACGAGUGGCGGACGGGUGAGUAAUGUCUGGGAAACUGCCUGAUGGAGGGGGAUAACUACUGGAAACGGUAGCUAAUACCGCAUACCAUCGGAUGUGCCCAGAUGGGAUUAGCUAGUAGGUGGGGUAAAGGCUCACCUAGGCGACGAUCCCUAGCUGGUCUGAGAGGAGGACCAGCCACACGGGAACGGAGACACGGGCCAGACGCCUACGGGAGGCAGGAGUGGUGAAUAUUGCACAAUGGGCGAAAGCCUGAUGCAUCCAUGCCGCGUGGAUGAAGAAGGCCUUCGGGUUGUAAAGUACGUUCAGCGGGGAGGCGUUACCCGCAGAAGAAGCACCGGCUAACUCCGUGCCAGCAGCCGCGGUAAUUC